GCCUGGGUGGCUCAGUCGGUUGAGCGUCUGACUUCAGCUCAGGUCAUGAUCUCACAGCUCAUGAGUUCAAGCCCUAGGUU
rnacentral:tRNA from 1 species